rnacentral:rRNA from 1 species
GAUGAACGCUGGCGGCGUGCCUAAUACAUGCAAGUCGAGCGAACAGACGAGAGUGCUUGCACUCUCUGACGUUAGCGGCGGACGGGUGAGUAACACGUGGGUAACCUACCUAUAAGACUGGGAUAACUUCGGGAAACCGGAGCUAUACCGGAUAAUAUUUAGCUUCGCAUGAAGCAAUAGUGAAAGACGGUUCUGCUGUCACUUAUAGAUGGACCCGCGGUGUAUUAGCUAGUUGGUGAGGUAACGGCUCACCAAGGCAACGAUACAUAGCCGACCUGAGAGGGUGAUCGGCCACACUGGGACUGAGACACGGCCCAGACUCCUACGGGAGGCAGCAGUAGGGAAUCUUCCGCAAUGGACGAAAGUCUGACGGAGCAAUGCCGCGUGAGUGAAGAAGGUUUUCGGAUCGUAAAACUCUGUUGUAAGGGAAGAACAAGUACGUUAGUAACUGAACGUACCUUGACGGUACCUUACCAGAAAGCCACGGCUAACUACGUG